rnacentral:rRNA from 1 species
CAGCAGCCGCGGGAAUACGUAGGUGGAAAGCGUUGUCCGGAAUUAUUGGGCGUAAAGGGCUCGCAGGCGGUUUCUUAAGUCUGAUGUGAAAGCCCCCGGCUCAACCGGGGAGGGUCAUUGGAAACUGGGAAACUUGAGUGCAGAAGAGGAGAGUGGAAUUCCACGUGUAGCGGUGAAAUGCGUAGAGAUGUGGAGGAACACCAGUGGCGAAGGCGACUCUCUGGUCUGUAACUGACGCUGAGGAGCGAAAGCGUGGGGAGCGUACAGGAUUAGAUACCCCAGUAGUCCCUGUCUCUUAUAC